UACAGAGACUGCAAGCGUUAUUCGGAUUCACUGGGCUUAAAGGGCGCGUAGGCGGGCAGCUAAGUCCGGGGUGAAAUCCCACAGCUCAACUGUGGAACUGCCUCGGAUACUGGGGGCCUCGAGGGUGGUAGGGGUAUGCGGAACUAUCGGUGGAGCGGUGAAAUGCGUUGAUAUCGAUAGGAACUCCGGUGGCGAAGGCGGCAUACUGGACCACAUCUGACGCUGAGGCGCGAAAGCCAGGGGAGCAAACGGG
rnacentral:rRNA from 1 species